UGACAUAAAUUUAGUUUUGUCCAUGUUAACUGUCAACUUUUUUCUUUCAAAAAAUUCGACUAUCUCAGUAAAUUUUUCUUCAGCUUUUAGUUUUAAUUGGUCCCACGUCGGUGCUUUAAAGUAGACUACUGUGUCAUCAGCAAAACUUACAAUUUGAUUAUCUGAAUUUAAGGCAAAUAAUUCAUUUAUAUAGAGCAGAAAAAGGAUGGGGCCCAAAAUAGUCCCCUGAGGCAUUCCACAUGUAAUUGUUUCUUCUUCGCUUAAAACUUUUCCUAUUUUGACUUUCUGUUUUCGCCCUUUCAGAUAGCUCUUGAUUAAAUCAAAUGCUACUCCUCUCCACCCCAUAUUUUCUAAUGUCUGCAACAGUAUUUCGUGAUCCACCGUAUCGAAUGCCUUUGCCAGGUCAACGAAUAUGCAUACCGCUGGUACAUUACUAUCCAUGGCUUCAGUGAUUAAUUCUACUAGGGCAGUGAUGGCAUCCUGUGUUGAUCUUUUUUUUUGGAAUCCAUAUUGAUUCGUGGCCAAUAUCUUGUACUUUUCUACGAAAGAAAUAAUGUUUCUGAGGAGACCUCUAUAAAGAUUGAGUAAUGGUCAGUCACAGUUGUAUGUAGUAUAGCAGGACUCCAGUAGCAUUGGGAGAUUCCUAUUGAACUCCUCCAUAGAUGAACUUGGAGAUCUGUACAUAGCGAUGAUCUGUAUGUUCUUGUUAAGCUUUAUUACGUUGAGGACUAUAACUUUUAUUUCUCCUACCUGUACUAUGUCGAAAGUAUAUUGUAAAUUAUUUCUUAUAAACACAACCACUCCAU